UACAGAGGGUGCAAGCGUUGUUCGGAAUUAUUGGGCGUAAAGCGCGUGUAGGCGGCUUUGCAAGUCGGGUGUGAAAGCCCCGGGCUCAACCUGGGGAAUUGCGCGCGAAACGGGGGGGCUUGAGUUCGGGAGAGGAGCGUGGAAUUCCCAGUGUAGAGGUGAAAUUCGUAGAUAUUGGGAAGAACACCGGUGGCGAAGGCGGCGCUCGUGGACCGAGACUGACGCUGAGCGCGAAAGCGUGGGGAGCAAACAGG
rnacentral:rRNA from 1 species